GACGAACGCUGGCGGCGUGCUUAACACAUGCAAGUCGAACGGAAAGGCCUCUUUCGGGGGGUACUCGAGUGGCGAACGGGUGAGUAACACGUGAGUAACCUGCCCUUGACUUUGGGAUAACUUCAGGAAACUGGGGCUAAUACCGGAUAGGAGCUCCUGCUGCAUGGUGGGGGUUGGAAAGUUUCGGCGGUUGGGGAUGGACUCGCGGCUUAUCAGCUUGUUGGUGGGGUAGUGGCUUACCAAGGCUUUGACGGGUAGCCGACCUGAGAGGGUGACCGGCCACAUUGGGACUGAGAUACGGCCCAGACUCCUACGGGAGGCAGCAGUGGGGAAUAUUGCACAAUGGGUGGAAGCCUGAUGCAGCAACGCCGUGUGCGGGAUGACGGCCUUCGGGUUGUAAACCGCUUUCGCUCAUGACGAAGCUUUGUGUGACGGUAGUGGGUAAAGAAACACCGGCUAACUACGU
rnacentral:rRNA from 1 species